UACGAAGGGGGCUAGCGUUGUUCGGAAUCACUGGGCGUAAAGCGCACGUAGGCGGACUUUCAAGUCAGGGGUGAAAUCCCGGGGCUCAACCUCGGAACUGCCUUUGAUACUGUUGGUCUUGAGUCCGGAAGAGGUGGGUGGAAUUCCUAGUGUAGAGGUGAAAUUCGUAGAUAUUAGGAAGAACACCGGUGGCGAAGGCGGCCCACUGGUCCGGUACUGACGCUGAGGUGCGAAAGCGUGGGGAGCAAACAGGAUUAGAAACCCCAGUAGUCC
rnacentral:rRNA from 1 species